UAAUUAUCACACCAACCUCUGUAGCCAAAACGUACUAACGAGCGACAAUAAACGAGAAUCACACAAACAGAAGCAGAACCAGCAGACACAUACCAGCCAGCCGUCCAUCUCGCUAUUCACACAAAAGUCAGUCACUUAAUUUUUGCAGAGCAUUUAAAAUUUAUGGCGUUGAUUUUUAUUGCGCCAAACAACCUCAACACGAAAUGCAUACGAAAAAUGUGUGCCGAUGUACGCGACGAAGUUGAAACGAAUGAAAUGGUUUUGUGUUUGUGCGAGCGCGCCAGACACAUGUUCAGUCAAGCAACAACCAACCAACCAACCCACCGAUCGGGAUCACUCAGUCAGCCAGCCAGCCAGCCAAUUUAGCGAAAAAGACCUUAACUUUUGAAAAAUAUUUUCUGAAUCAGUCAGUCAGUCGUGCGUUGGCAUGCAUACCAGAAGUCAGCCAACUUGUCGGCGGCGGCAGCUAUACAAAACAAAUUAAAAUUUAUAGACUAACCAACUCAACUCGGGUUGUUGUUAAUCGAGUCGAGUCAUGGUGGUGGUGUUGGUGAUGAUGAUGACGACGACAGCGUCAGCGACAGGAAAAAUAGCGAAUCGACCGGCCGGCCAGACAGUGUCUGUUCAGUAGUGGAGAAAAAUAACUUGAUACUACGUCGGCAUUUUUGCAAAACAAUGCAAAAAUGUAAGGCCAUAAUAAAACUAUGACGGCGUUGGCUGGUUGGUUUGGAAGAGAGCCAUCAUCCAUUCAGAGACGGCGGCGACCACAGCUACAAUUAACGGCCAUGACAAACAAAAACUGUUGUUUGGCUGGCUGGUUGGUUGGUUGCGCAUCAUUCGUUUGUUCAUUGCCUGCUGCCCCUGCUUCUUGGUUGAUUUCUUGCUUAUUAAUCGUAUCGUGUGGGGAAUUAAGAAAACACCCCCUUCCGUUGAUUCGUGACAACAAGACAAAAAUGCGCUCGCCAAGGAGGAGGAGGAUGAUGAUGGUGGUGGUGGCAACAAAAUAUGUUGAUGGUGCAAAACAAAUAGCUUUGACGGCGGCAUCUGUCUGGCUCGUCGUCGUUAAAAUCUCAUCGAAAUCGAGAUUCGAUAUUCGAGGGAAAAAUUAGGCAAACAGCAUUAAUAGUAGGUGUUAUCUCCGCAGAAAAAUAGCCCCCAACAAAACAAAGCAGGCACGAAUCAACGAACGAAACUUAUCAGCAACGCAAAACAAAAGAGGCGCACUCGGUCAAUAACACAAGCAACCAACCAACACAGAGGCAUGCAUACAGGCAAGCAAACAACAACACACACUCGUUUACUCUUGAAAUGUCAAUAAGAAAGACAGAAAGCGAGAGAGAGCACGAGACUAUAUUUGCCGUAAUGGGUGUGCUCUUUCGCUCACCCAACAUGUGCGAUAUGCAUGAGUUGAGGGUCGCCGUCGCCGCCACUACUCAUCAACAUUGUUCGUCGUGUUCUUCUAUUCAGAUAUCAUUAUUUUUACUUCGGGUUUGCUCGCUUUUUCUUUUGGGCGCCGCAUCAUUCAUUUGUUGGGCCCGCCGUUAUUAGUUUGUUUACAUCGAGAACGCACGCCAUCAUCGACCGACCGCCACAAUUUUUAUUAUUGUUUGCCGCCGUCAUCACACGUUGUCGAACCAACCAACCAACCAACCAGCUGACUUGUGUGUAACGUUGGUUGCGGUGCUUCCACGUUUCAGCACAAGCAACAGUCAUUCUCAUUUCGUUUCUUGGUUGCGCCAUCAACCUGACGACAACGUGUAACCGCCAAUGUACUAGGCGACCAGAAUUGCCAUAUGAGAUAAUAGCAAGCUGCAAAAACUGGCAAGCAAACCGAUUUGGUUCCGUAUACACUGGUGGUGUAUACACGUGAGAUAGAAGAGAGACAAAACGAACGAAGCGAUAGACAACACAUUUCGUUUUUCGACGAGAAACGAUGAAUCGUGAGGGAAAAUAUAGCAAAUGUGUUUAAGUGGCA